ACGGAAGGCAGCAGUGGGGAAUAUUGCACAAUGGGGGAAACCCUGAUGCAGCGACGCCGCGUGAGUGAAGAAGUUAUUCGUAAUGUAAGGCUCUAUCAGCAGGGAAGAAAAUGACGGUACCUGACUAAGAAGCCCCGGCUAACUACGUGCCAGCAGCCGCGGUAAUACGUAGGGGGCAAGCGUUAUCCGGAUUUACUGGGUGUAAAGGGAGCGUAGACGGUCUGGCAAGUCUGAUGUGAAAGGCAGGGGCUCAACUCCUGGACUGCAUUGGAAACUGUCAGUCUUGAGUGUCGGAGAGGUAAGCGGAAUUCCUAGUGUAGCGGUGAAAUGCGUAGAUAUUAGGAGGAACACCAGUGGCGAAGGCGGCUUACUGGACGAUAACUGACGUUGAGGCUCGAAAGCGUGGGGAGCAAACAGGAUUAGAUACCCUGGUA
rnacentral:rRNA from 1 species